CACGUGUUCCGGGGUCGGUGCAAGUCCGAACCGGCGGUGAGAGUCCGCGACCCGUCCGCAUCCAGCGGGCGGUUGACUCGGUGAAAAUCCGAGACCGACGGUGAAAGUCCGGAUGGAAGGCACACGUG
rfam:Kytococcus sedentarius DSM 20547, complete genome.